CUUGCAUUGAGUUCUUCGCAUCAAGAUGGCAGAUCGGUCGCUUCAUGCGGUGCUAUUUCAAAUAAGAUGAUGGACUGGGAGUGCAGGGUGUGCAAAAAGAUUCAUCGUUCAAGACUCCACCUCCUCAGACACUACAGACUACAACAUAGACAGUGCUCAAAAAUAAGUCCACUUCCAUAGUUGAAGGACGCUUACUGCUGAGUCCAAAGAGGUUCAUACCAGUUACACAUAAUGGACAGAAGUGAAAGCACAUCUGUAAGCAUUGACUCUUGCGCAAUGAUCCUA